GAUGAAGAACGAAGCGAAAUGCGAUACGUAAUGUGAAUUGCAGAAUUCAGUGAAUCAUCGAAUCUUUGAACGCAUAUUGCGCUCUCUGGUAUUCCGGAGAGCAUGCUUGUUUGAGUAUCAGUAAACACCUCAACUCCCUUUUAUUUUUUGAAAUUGGAGCUGGACUUGAGUGAUCCCAACGCUUUCUUCCAAGAAAGUGGCGGGUUGCUUGAAAUGCAGGUGCAGCUGAACUUUUCUCUGAGCUAUAAGCAUAUCUAUUUAGUCUGCCUAAAAAACAGAUUAUUACCUUUGCUGCAGCUAACAUAAAGGAGACUAGUUCUUGUGCUGACUGAUGCAGGAUUCACAGAGACAGCUUCGGCUGACUUUGUAAACUCGAUCUCAAAUCAAGUAAGACUACCCGCUGAACUUAAGCAUAUCAAUAAGCGGAGGA
rnacentral:misc_RNA from 1 species